rnacentral:rRNA from 1 species
GACGAACGCUGGCGGCGUGCUUAACACAUGCAAGUCGAACGGAAAGGCCCUGCUUUUGUGGGCUUCUCGAGUGGCGAACGGGUGAGUAACACGUGAGUAACCUGCCCUUGACUUUGGGAUAACUUCAGGAAACUGGGGCUAAUACCGGAUAGGAGAUCCUGCUGCAUGGUGGGGGUUGGAAAGUUUCGGCUGUUGGGGAUGGAUUCGCGGCUUAUCAGCUUGUUGGUGGGGUAGUGGCUUACCAAGGCAGGGACGGAUCGCCGGCCUGAGAGGGUGACCGGCGACAAGGGGACUAAGGUACGGCCCAGACUCCAACGGUAGGCAACAGGGGGAAAUAUUGCACAACGGGCGGGAGCCUGAUGCAGAAGCGCCGCGUGCGGAAUGACGUCUUGCUGGUUGUAAACCGCUUUCGCCUGUGACGAAGCGUGAGUGACGGUAAUGGGUAAAGAAGCACCGGCUAACUACGUG